rnacentral:misc_RNA from 1 species
AACGCACGAGACCUGCGGACCUGCGGAGGGAUCAUUAGUGAACGCCCUCACGGGCUUAUAACUAUUCCAAACCUCUGUGAACCGUGCCCUUCGGGGCUAUUUUACAAACAUGGUGUAAUGAACGUCAUAUAUCAUAACAAAGCAAAACUUUUAGCAACGGAUCUCU